GGUGGGAGAUCUCCUCGAAGGUGCCAUUGGAAUAUUUCCGGCUGUUGGUGAUGAUGGUCCUGGGAGCAAGGAGAGGGAGAGCCAGGUGUCAAGCGUCCUGGGCGGGCACCAGCAGCAGGAGGUACCUACAGGGUUCGGAAGUUCUCCUUUCCCAGCAUCCUGUACUCCUGGCAGACUUUCUCCCGGACAUAAGAUUUCCCUGGAAGUGCAGGAGAAGGAGGAAUUUUGAGUAGGGAACAAGGAAUGUUCCGCCACCACAGAACACGCUGCUUUAUUCACUUGAGGUGGGCGAUUCCCUGUGGAGCUGAGAAGGCAGCAAAGGGUGGCAGAGCAUCGUUUCCACCAAGGGAUGAAUUUUACAGAGGAAUGGUGCUUGUCAGGGGGGUCAGGAGAUCCCAUUUUCCUUCAGGAAGAGAAGGAGCCAAUCCCUGCAGUUCUGUGCUCUCCCACCUCCUGCAGCAUCACCCUAAAGUGGCAUCCUGGAUAUCAAACCAUCAUCCCACCCCUUCCCUUUCCUCUCUGGUCCUGCCCAGAGGUUUGGCUGCAGGCUGGGAGAGGGGAGGCCACCGAAAACCUCUGGAACGGAGGCCCAGCCCCGUGUCCCUCAUCCCAGGGGCCAGCAAAGCCCCAGGAUCGCACCCUUACCUCGGUGCAGCGCGUGUGCAGCGGCCAAGAGC